rnacentral:rRNA from 1 species
GAUGAACGCUGGCGGCGUGCCUAAUACAUGCAAGUCGAGCGAACAGACGAGGAGCUUGCUCCUCUGACGUUAGCGGCGGACGGGUGAGUAACACGUGGAUAACCUACCUAUAAGACUGGGAUAACUUCGGGAAACCGGAGCUAAUACCGGAUAAUAUAUUGAACCGCAUGGUUCAAUAGUGAAAGACGGUUUUGCUGUCACUUAUAGAUGGAUCCGCGCCGCAUUAGCUAGUUGGUAAGGUAACGGCUUACCAAGGCAACGAUGCGUAGCCGACCUGAGAGGGUGAUAGGCCACACGGGAACUGAGACACGGUCCAGACUCCUGCGGGAGGCAGCAGUAGGGAAUCUUACGCAAUGGGCGAAAGCCUGACGGAGCAACGCCGCGUGAGUGAUGAAGGUCUUCGGAUCGUAAAACUCUGUUAUUAGGGAAGAACAAAUGUGUAAGUAACUAUGCACGUCUUGACGGUACCUAAUCAGAAAGCCACGGCUAACUACGUG